rnacentral:ncRNA from 1 species
GUCAACUACUCCCACUUAUAGAAGUGGGAGCUUGUAAAAGCUCGGUUGACUAGACUAAGCAUUUAUUUGCUCCGUUAUAU